rnacentral:rRNA from 1 species
GGUGAACGCUGGCGGUAGGCCUAACACAUGCAAGUCGAACGGCAGCACAGUAAGAGCUUGCUCUUACGGGUGGCGAGUGGCGGACGGGUGAGGGAUACAUCGGAAUCUACUUUUUCGUGGGGGAUAACGUAGGGAAACUUACGCUAAUACCGCAUACGACCUACGGGUGAAAGCAGGGGAUCUUCGGACCUUGCGCGAUUGAAUGAGCCGAUGUCGGAUUAGCUAGUUGGCGGGGUAAAGGCCCACCAAGGCGACGAUCCGUAGCUGGUCUGAGAGGAUGAUCAGCCACACUGGAACUGAGACACGGUCCAGACUCCUACGGGAGGCAGCAGUGGGGAAUAUUGGACAAUGGGCGCAAGCCUGAUCCAGCCAUACCGCGUGGGUGAAGAAGGCCUUCGGGUUGUAAAGCCCUUUUGUUGGGAAAGAAAAGCAGCAGGUUAAUACCCCGCUGUUCUGACGGUACCCAAAGAAUAAGCACCGGCUAACUUCAUG